UCCCUUGUGGCUCAGCUGGUAAAGAACCCGCCCGCAAAGUGGGAGACCUAGGUUUGAUUCCUGGGGUGGGAA
rnacentral:tRNA from 1 species